rnacentral:rRNA from 1 species
UACGGAGGGUGCAAACGUUGCUCGGAAUCAUUGGGCGUAAAGCGCACGUAGGCGGUUCGCCAAGUCGGAUGUGAAAGCCCUGGGCUCAACCCAGGAAGUGCAUUCGAAACUAGCGGACUUGAGUAUGGAAGAGGGUCGCGGAAUUCCCGGUGUAGAGGUGAAAUUCGUAGAUAUCGGGAGGAACACCAGUGGCGAAGGCGGCGACCUGGGCCAAUACUGACGCUGAGGUGCGAAAGCGUGGGGAGCAAACAGG